AUGAUGGAUUAUAGAUCAGUUCUGCUGUUUUUAACUAUCUGCAGCUCAGGUGUUGAUGGUCAGACUCUGACAGAGUCUGAAUCAGUGGUUAAAAGACCUGGAGACUCACACAGACUGACCUGUACAGCCUCUGGAUUCACAUUCAGCAGCUAUGGGAUGGCCUGGAUCAGACAGGCUCCUGGACAAGGACUGGAGUGGAUUGCAUACAUGUAUAACAGUGCUAACAUUUACUACUCUCAGUCAGUUCAAGGCCGGUUCACCAUCUCCAGAGACAACAACAGACAGCAGGUGUUUCUGCAGAUGAACAGUCUGAAGACUGAAGACUCUGCUGUUUAUUAUUGCGCUCGUGACCCACAGUGACUCAAGCUGACUGAGCAGCUGUACAAAAACCUGCAGCAUUUAUUUUUUUAUUUAUUU